CUGUGACUUUAGCCUUUCUUCACAGUAACAAGUCAAGACCCAAGGACAUUAAUGCAUCUAAAAAUGGACUCUUCUCCAGCUCUGGUGGUUGUACUGUUCUUUAUGUUUGGAGGAAGCUAUGGAGAGUCGGUGACUCAGACUGAAGGCCAAAUGACACUGUCAGAGGGCGAUCCCUUGACUGUGAACUGCUUUUAUGAAACCACAAGGGUCCCUGUCCUUCUCUGGUAUGUCCAAUACCCAGGUGAAGGGCUACAAAUCCUCCUGAAGGCCAUGAAGACCAAUGAUAAGGGAAGCAACAAAGGGUUUGAAGCCUUGUACAACAAAGAAGCCACCUCCUUCCACUUGCAGAAAGUCGCGGUGCAAGAGUCAGACUCGGCUGUGUACUAUUGUGCUUUGAGCGACACAGUGAGAGGAACUGCAGAGGGAGCCGCACACAAACUGUGAGGCUUAGCAAGGUGCCUGAUGCUGAGUGUCUGCCUCUGUGACCGACUCUGGCUUGGGGACAUUGUUGUUUCCCACCAGCUCCAGGACUACCAGAGUGAAAGUCAUUCAGAUCAACACUGACAGCACAGACGAAUAAGUGGCAGAAUAGUCA